AGGGAGAUGGUUGAGUGGUUGAAAACAACGGUUUGCUAAAUCGUCACGCUGGUUUAAGUGUCAUGGGUUCGAAUCCCAUUCUUCCUA
rnacentral:tRNA from 1 species